AUUGAACGCUGGCGGCGUGCUUAACACAUGCAAGUCGAGCGGUAACAGGCGUAGCAAUACGUGCUGACGAGCGGCGAACGGGUGCGUAAUACAUCGGAAUCUGCCUCGUAGUGGGGAAUAACCCGGCGAAAGCCGGGCUAAUGCCGCAUACGAUUCACGGAUGAAAGCGGGGGACCGUAAGGCCUCGCGCUAUGAGAUGAGCCGAUGUCGGAUUAGCUAGUGGUGAGGUAAUGGCUCACCAAGGCGACGAUCCGUAGCUGGUCUGAGAGGACGGCCAGCCACACUGGGACUGAGACACGGCCCAGACUCCUACGGGAGGCAGCAGCGGGGAAUAUUGCGCAAUGGGCGAAAGCCUGACGCAGCAACGCCGCGUGAGGGAUGAAGGCUUUCGGGUUGUAAACCUCUUUCAG
rnacentral:rRNA from 1 species